GCCGGAAUGGCGGAAUUGGCAGACGCCCGGGACUUAAAAUCCCGUGAGAUUAAUUUCUCGUACCGGUUCGACCCCGGCUUCCGGCACCA
rnacentral:tRNA from 2 species